CGGCACACAGACGCCCUGUGCCCUCCGUGAUUGGUGUCUCGGGGCUGCGUUCAGACACCGAGGAAUAUCCUGUCAUGUGCCGCCACUGCUGCUAAAGGAACAGAAACAAAAGCAUCUCGGCUCAAAUAAUGUCUUCCACUUUCCCAGAGGAGGUCCCAGUGAAGCGGUCCGUGGCAGAACUGGCGGGGAAGUUUAAAAAUGUCGUCCCUGACAAUGAGCCAGCACCCAAGCCGGUCAGACUUCGCCCUCCCCGGUCCUUACAGAUCCAGUUACAGCACCCUGCAGAACAAGAGAAAGCAGAAGGCGCCACCACCCAGCUCGCUGCAGGACGACCCAAGCGGAACUCUGCCCUCAUAGAGAAGUUACAGGCUAACUUAGCCCUCUCUCCCUCUGCCCUUCUGACAUCGCCCUUGAGCCCCGGCUUCAAGUUCUCCCCCAAGCUUUCACUCCCCCUCCCCUGCCG
ensembl:lncRNA